UACAGAGGAGCCAAGCGUUGUCCGGAUUGACUGGGCGUAAAGCGCACGCAGGCGGACGCGCGCGUGGGGUGUGAAAUCUGGCCGCUUAACGGCCAGGCGCCAUCCCAUACGGCGCGACUGGAGUGAUGCAGAGGUCGAUGGAAUUGCCGGUGUAGUGGUGAAAUGCGUAGAGAUCGGCAGGAACACCCAGGGGGAAACCAGGCGACUGGGCAUCUACUGACGCUGAGGUGCGAGAGCGUGGGGAGCGAACCGG
rnacentral:rRNA from 1 species